rnacentral:rRNA from 1 species
AUUGAACGCUGGCGGCAGGCCUAACACAUGCAAGUCGAGCGAGCGGCGGACGGGUGAGUAAUGUCUGGGAAACUGCCUGAUGGAGGGGGAUAACUACUGGAAACGGUAGCUAAUACCGCAUACCAUCAGAUGUGCCCAGAUGGGAUUAGCUAGUAGGUGGGGUAACGGCUCACCUAGGCGACGAUCCAUAGCUGGUCUGAGAGGAUGACCAGCCACACGGGAACUAGGCCACGGUCCAGAAUCCUACGGUAGGCAGCAGUGGGGAAUAUGGCACAAUGGGCGCAAGCCUGAUGCAGCCAUGCCGCGUGUGUGAAGAAGGCCUUCGGGUUGUAAAGCACGUUCAGCGGUGAGGCGUUACCCGCAGAAGAAGCACCGGCUAACUCCGUGCCAGCCGCCGCGGUAAUUC